rnacentral:rRNA from 1 species
UACGUAGGGAGCAAGCGUUGUCCGGAAUCAUUGGGCGUAAAGCGCGCGUAGGUGGCCUCAUAAGUCCGCUGUGAAAGUCAAAGGCUCAACCUUUGAAAGCCGGUGGAUACUGUGAGGCUAGAGUACGGAAGAGGAGAGUGGAAUUCCCGGUGUAGCGGUGAAAUGCGCAGAUAUCGGGAAGAACACCCGUGGCGAAGGCGGCUCUCUGGGACGGUACUGACGCUGAGACGCGAAAGCGUGGGGAGCGAACAGG